rnacentral:rRNA from 1 species
AUUGAACGCUGGCGGCAUGCCUUACACAUGCAAGUCGAACGGUAACAGGUCUUCGGAUGCUGACGAGUGGCGAACGGGUGGGUAAUACAUCGGAACGUGCCCGAUCGUGGGGGAUAACGAAGCGAAAGCUUUGCUAAUACCGCAUAAGAUCUACGGAUGAAAGCAGGGGACCGCUAGGCCUUGCGCGAACGGAGCGGCCGAUGGCAGAUUAGGUAGUUGGAGGGAUAAAAGCUUACCAAGCCGACGAUCUGUAGCUGGUCUGAGAGGACGACCAGCCACACUGGGACUGAGACACGGCCCAGACUCCUACGGGAGGCAGCAGUGGGGAAUUUUGGACAAUGGGCGAAAGCCUGAUCCAGCCAUGCCGCGUGCAGGAUGAAGGCCUUCGGGUUGUAAACUGCUUUUGUACGGAACGAAAAGACUCUUUCUAAUAAAGAGGGUCCAUGACGGUACCGUAAGAAUAAGCACCGGCUAACUACGUGCCAGCAGCCGCGGUAA